rnacentral:misc_RNA from 1 species
UCCGAUUUGUCACCGGCAGUCUCCUAUGAGUCCCCGUCUUUCACGCUGGCAACAUAGGACAGGGGUUGCGCUCGUUGCUGGACUUAACCCAACAUCUCACGACACGAGCUGACGACGGCCAUGCACCACCUGUGCACGAGCCCCGAAGGGCUGCCGUGUUUCCACGACAUUUCCUCUGCAUGUCAAACCCAGGUAAGGUUCUUCGCGUUGCCUCGAAUUAAACCACACGCUCCGCUGCUUGUGCGGGCCCCCGCCUAUUCCUUUGAGUUUUAACCUUGCGGCCGUAGUCCCCAGGCGGUGAACUUAAUGCGUUAGCUGCGGCACGGAGGGAGUCGACACCCCCCACACCUAGCACCCAUCGUUUACGGCGUGGACUAC